rnacentral:pre_miRNA from 7 species
CGUUAUGACUCCUGGGUGGUCGUGAAUUCCCGGCCAAUGCACCACAUGAAGGAACCCCCGAAGGGAGACCCUCACUCCAGUCUCAGGAAACACGAGCCCAGAAAGUCACAACAGUCA